rnacentral:rRNA from 1 species
GACGAACGCUGGCGGCGUGCUUAACACAUGCAAGUCGAACGCUGAAGCUUGGUGCUUGCACUGGGUGGAUGAGUGGCGAACGGGUGAGUAAUACGUGAGUAACCUGCCCUUGACUCUGGGAUAAGCCUGGGAAACUGGGUCUAAUACUGGAUACGACAUGCCACUGCAUGGUGGUGUGUGGAAAGGGUUUUACUGGUUUUGGAUGGGCUCACGGCCUAUCAGCUUGUUGGUGGGGUAAUGGCCUACCAAGGCGACGACGGGUAGCCGGCCUGAGAGGGUGACCGGCCACACUGGGACUGAGACACGGCCCAAACUCCUACGGGAGGCAGCAGUGGGGAAUAUUGCACAAUGGGCGGAAGCCUGAUGCAGCGACGCCGCGUGAGGGAUGACGGCCUUCGGGUUGUAAACCUCUUUCAGCACGGAAGAAGCGAGAGUGACGGUACGUGCAGAAGAAGCGCCGGCUAACUACGUG